rnacentral:lncRNA from 1 species
GAGGGGACUGGAGUCUAAGGCAACGGACGAGGGAAAGAAAAGAAUACAGAGCAAGGAAAAAACAGGGGAGGUUACGGGCAAAAACCGAAAAUGAAAAUGAAAAAACAGAGAGGGGCGGCUGAAAAAAGGGGAGAGCUUCGUGAGGCAGGGGAGUUUCGUCUGAGAAGGGAGCUACGGCUGAGACAAGAAAAACAAAAGGGGGCUAAGAAGCAAAAAAAAACAGAGGGUGCCAAUUAGAGAGGAAAUGGAGGGCGGCUAAGGGGAAAAAUCUGGAGAAGAGGGGAGAGUUUUCGGGUGAGGCCAGAAACCGAGAGAAAAGCUACGGCUGAAGGAGCAAGGCUUCGGACAGAAAUGAAAAACUAAGGAAAGGGCCAAAGGAAAGCUUCAGGCGUCUGGGAAGAAGCAAGAAAAACAGAGGAGGCUGCCUCUGUUUUCUUCUUUUUUUUCCUUUUCGCGCACCGCCGCCCACCCCAAAUCUCCUCUCUCUCCCCCACGCCUUCUGCCAUUGCCACCACCGCGCGCAACUUCCAUCGAAACCACUGCAGCUGUGAGGGUGAAAGUCAAGGCCCUUUACAAGAUUCCACCCUCUCGAUCACAGCUUGCAAUUAUACCGGUGAAAAGAAAGCUGCCACCAGCAUCCAAAGCCGCGGCAUCGGCAGCUGCCACCCAGGAAGUAAAGCCAACUAAAAGGUGGAGAAGAAGGGAGUUGAAGCCAUGGCGCCCGCUGCCUAAAAUCACUCAAACCUGUAUCAGAGGAACCACUGUUAGAGGCCAUCGUGAGGUAACCUAUCCAUUUACAUUUCAGUCUUUUGUCAAAAUAUAUUUGCCGUGAGGUUGGCGUCUCAAUUUUUGUUUGUCGAUUCUUCAUGUCCUUUUGGAAUACACGUAUGCUGUAUGUUGAUUGGAAUGUGUCUCUUGGGUUGCUGAUAGUAUUUUGGCUAAUUAUAAUAUCGAUUGAGCAGAAAUCAGUGAAAUUUUUGAUGCCCAGUUGGUGUUCGAUGAAAUGACCAAUUGAAUGUUAUACUCGGAAAAGCGAUUUGUCUGCAUUUGCGCAUGUGAAGAAACAAACGAACAACAAUUUCAAUGUUGUUUCAGAACAUAAUAAUUGAUUUCUAGGAUAGAAAGAAGAAUUUUGAUCUUGAUACAUUGGCAUGCGACUGUCUCUGUUUUCCUUUUCGGGCUCUGCUUUUUCUUUUGUAUGGAUUCGAAUUGACGGCAUGAAAUUGGCUUGAGGAACAGUUUGAGUGAGUUUUAUGCUUUGGGUUGAAAUUUGCUGAUUCUUUGGUGAUCAUUCGUCCGCAAAAGAAAGAUGAAGAUGGCAACUCCCAUUUGCCCGUUUGGAAAAAUGAUUAUUUGUAUAAUCUGUAAUCUCAUUCCCAUGAUUUCCUUUUUUUUUCCUGUAAUUUGCUCCCCACAGUUUUUUAAAACUUCAUAAUUUGACCCCAAAAUGUUCACAAUUCUUUCAACUAGAUCCCUAUUUUUGUUGUGAUUGAGCCUCUCAAAUUCCCCCUUGUUCUGAAUUAACCCGGAAAAUUGGAAAAGUGAACUUGUUUCUCCCUUUUAGAUUUUAAAUCAUCUUCUAAUAAGCAU